GCCUAACACAUGCAAGUCGAACGCGAAAGGUCUUCGGACUGAUUGAGUGGCGCACGGGUGAGUAACACGUAGGUAAUCUACCCUUUGGCGGGGGAUAACGUUCCGAAAGGGACGCUAAUACCGCAUAAGACCACGACGUCUUUGGACGAUGUGGGAAAAGGUGGCCUCUUCUUGAAAGCUACCACCGAAGGAUGAGCCUGCGUCCCAUCAGCUAGUUGGUAAGGUAAUGGCUUACCAAGGCGAAGACGGGUAGCUGGUUUGAGAGAAUGAUCAGCCACACUGGCACUGGAACACGGGCCAGACUCCUACGGGAGGCAGCAGUGAGGAAUAUUGGGCAAUGGGCGAAAGCCUGACCCAGCCACGCCGCGUGAGUGAUGAAGGCCUCGGUCGUAAGCGUCUGUGGAGAGGGACGAAAACCCGU
rnacentral:rRNA from 1 species